AGAGUUUGAUCCUGGCUCAGGAUGAACGCUGGCGGCGUGCUUAACACAUGCAAGUCGAACGAAGCACUUUAUUACGUUUUCUUCGGAAUGACGAUUUAGUGACUGAGUGGCGGACGGGUGAGUAACGCGUGGGUAACCUGCCUUAUACAGGGGGAUAACAGUUAGAAAUGACUGCUAAUACCGCAUAAGCGCACAGGAUUGCAUGAUCUGGUGUGAAAAACUCCGGUGGUAUAAGAUGGACCCGCGUCUGAUUAGCUGGUUGGUGAGGUAACGGCCCACCAAGGCGACGAUCAGUAGCCGACCUGAGAGGGUGACCGGCCACAUUGGGACUGAGACACGGCCCAAACUCCUACGGGAGGCAGCAGUGGGGAAUAUUGCACAAUGGGGGAAACCCUGAUGCAGCGACGCCGCGUGAGCGAAGAAGUAUUUCGGUAUGUAAAGCUCUAUCAGCAGGGAAGAAAAAAAUGACGGUACCUGACUAAGAAGCCCCGGCUAACUACGUGCCAGCAGCCGCGGUAAUACGUAGGGGGCAAGCGUUAUCCGGAUUUACUGGGUGUAAAGGGAGCGCAGGCGGUGCGGCAAGUCUGAUGUGAAAGCCCGGGGCUCAACCCCGGGACUGCAUUGGAAACUGUCGUACUUGAGUAUCGGAGAGGUAAGUGGAAUUCCUAGUGUAGCGGUGAAAUGCGUAGAUAUAUGGAAGAACACCAGUGGCGAAGGCGGCUUUCUGGACUGUAACUGACGUUGAAGCUCGAAAGUGUGGGUAGCAAACAGGAUUAGAUACCCUGGUAGUCCACACCGUAAACGAUGAGUGCUAGCUGUUCGAGGGUUUCCGCCCUUGAGUGGCGUAGCUAACGCAUUAAGCACUCCGCCUGGGGAGUACGACCGCAAGGUUGAAACUCAAAGGAAUUGACGGGGACCCGCACAAGCGGUGGAGCAUGUGGUUUAAUUCGAAGCAACGCGAAGAACCUUACCAGGUCUUGACAUCCUUUGACCACUCCAGAGAUGGAGCUUUCCCUUCGGGGACAAAGUGACAGGUGGUGCAUGGUUGUCGUCAGCUCGUGUCGUGAGAUGUUGGGUUAAGUCCCGCAACGAGCGCAACCCUUAUUGUUAGUUGCCAGCAUUCAGUUGGGCACUCUAGCGAGACUGCCGGUGACAAACCGGAGGAAGGCGGGGAUGACGUCAAAUCAUCAUGCCCCUUAUGACCUGGGCUACACACGUGCUACAAUGGCAUAUACAACGAGUCGCCAACCCGCGAGGGUGCGCUAAUCUCUUAAAGUAUGUCUCAGUUCGGACUGUAGGCUGCAACUCGCCUACACGAAGUCGGAAUCGCUAGUAAUCGCGGAUCAGCACGCCGCGGUGAAUACGUUCCCGGGUCUUGUACACACCGCCCGUCA
rnacentral:rRNA from 1 species